rnacentral:rRNA from 1 species
CAACCAGACUCCUACGGGAGGCAGCAGUGGGGAAUAUUGCACAAUGGGGGGAACCCUGAUGCAGCGACGCCGCGUGGGUGAAGGAGCACCUCGGUGCGUAAAGCCCUAUCGGCAGGGAAGAAACAGACGGUACCUGACUAAGAAGCCCCGGCUAACUACGUGCCAGCAGCCGCGGUAAUACGUAGGGGGCAAGCGUUAUCCGGAUUUACUGGGUGUAAAGGGAGCGUAGGCGGCGAUGCAAGUCAGAAGUGAAAGCCCGGGGCUCAACUCCGGGACUGCUUUUGAAACUGUGUUGCUAGAUUGCAGGAGAGGUAAGUGGAAUUCCUAGUGUAGCGGUGAAAUGCGUAGAUAUUAGGAGGAACACCAGUGGCGAAGGCGGCCUGCUGGACGACAACUGACGGUGAGGCGCGAAAGCGUGGGGAGCAAACAGGAUUAGAUACCCUGGUACU